rnacentral:rRNA from 1 species
AUUGAACGCUGGCGGCAUGCUUUACACAUGCAAGUCGAACGGUAACAGGCCUUCGGGCGCUGACGAGUGGCGAACGGGUGAGUAAUGCAUCGGAACGUGCCCAGUCGUGGGGGAUAACGCAGCGAAAGCUGUGCUAAUACCGCAUACGAUCUGCGGAUGAAAGCGGGGGACCUUCGGGCCUCGCGCGAUUGGAGCGGCCGAUGUCAGAUUAGGGAGUUGGUGGGGUAAAGGCUCACCAAGCCAACGAUCUGUAGCUGGUCUGAGAGGACGACCAGCCACACUGGAACUGGUACACGGCCCAGACUCCUACGGGAGGAAGCAGUGGGGAAUUUUGGACAAUGGGCGCAAGCCUGAUCCAGCAAUGCCGCGUGCAGGAAGAAGGCCUUCGGGUUGUAAACUGCUUUUGUACGGAACGAAACGGUCCUGGUUAAUACCCGGGGCUAAUGACGGUACCGUAAGAAUAAGCACCGGCUAACUACGUGCCAGCCGCCGCCGUAAUAC